GUGGAGCAUGUGGCUUAAUUUGACUCAACGCGGGAAAUCUUACCGGGUCCGGACACACUGAGGAUUGACAGGCAAUAUUAAUACAUCAGCUCUUUUUUAUUAAAGUCUGUGUAUUAUGUUAAAUAUGCUAGUCCUUUCAUGAUUAUGUGAUAGGUGGUGCAUGGCCGUUCUUAGUUCGUGGAGUGAUCUGUCUGCUUAAUUGCGUUUCACUAAGGGCCUAUAAAUUUACGUGUGUUGCGGCACUUUGACCCCUCUCUGAGCGCGCGUCUUAGUUUGCUUUGCUCGCACAAUUAGGUCCUGAAAGCAACGAACGUGACCGCAACCUCUUGUUGCCUUUAUUCCAAACAUGUUUGCCAUUUUAAAUGGUAUUCAUGAAAAAAGGCUUUUUAAACUAGAGGGACCGCUGUUACUUUCUUAAACCAGAGGAAGGUUGCGGCAAUAACAGGUCUGUGAUGCCCUUAGAUGUUCCGGGCUGCACACGUGCUACAAUGAUUAUUGCAGUGAGCAUCUCAUUUUUACACACCGCAUGCGCGAGUCCAUUUAUUCACCUCUCUGAGGCGCUUUAAAUGUGUACCUCUGCGCGCGGUAAAGCCUGCUUCGAGAGUAAGUGGGUAAUCAAUUAGAAGUAAUGAUUUCCUUUUUAGCACACAUAUAUACGGCGUCUAUGCCCGGGCUGCCUUGUUGUAGCUUUUGUGCGUAUAGAUGUUUUUUCCGUAUGUGCGAUUGUCAAUUCAUGGUGGGGACAGACCAUUGUUAAUUGUUGGUCUCGGUCUUAACUAGGAAUGCCUUGUACGGGUCUUUGGUUCAACAAACCACCCGGAAUACGUCCCUGCCCUUUGUACACACCGCCCGUCGCUCUUACCGAUGGACUUCUCUGUGAGUUUGAGGGACUGGGAACGCAGAUUUUAUCUGCACACCUAUGGAAACUUAAACGAACAGUGUGGUCUAAAG
rnacentral:rRNA from 2 species